rnacentral:misc_RNA from 1 species
AACCUAGCACACCUGCGGUGUGUACCUGCGGAGGGAUCAUUAACCUUUCAAAUCAGGGUGCGGCGCGGCCCCCGAGGAGCGGAAACAAUCCUUGGGAGGUAUGCGGGGGCUUCGAGCCCCCCAUAUACGCACGCACGACUGCCAUCCUUACUUUACGAGCACCUUCUGUUCUCCCUCGGCGGGGCAACCUGCCGUUGGAACCGAAUAAACUCUUUUUGCAUCUAGCAUUACCUGUUCCGA